UUUCCGUAGGUGAACCUGCGGAAGGAUCAUUAACGAGUUAGGGUUUCUCUGGCCCGACCUCCCAACCCGUUGUCUACUUGACCAUCGUUGCUUCGGCGAGCCCGUCCUCACGGACCGCCGAAGGGACCUUUACUGGCCCUUUGUUCCGCGCUCGUCGGUGGCCCAACCUUUCAAAUCUAUAACUAAACGUGCCUUAAUCUAAGUACAAUUAUUAAAUAAAAGCAAAACUUUCAGCAACGGAUCUCUUGGUUCUG
rnacentral:misc_RNA from 1 species